UUUUGCUGCAGCUUCAUAACUGUAAUUUUGCUACUGUUAGGAAUCGUAAUGCAGGGCUGGAGAGAUGGCUCAGCCGUUAAAGGCUAGGCUCACAACCAAAUAUAUA
rnacentral:miRNA from 14 species